CUUAGGUAUCAUGCCGGAUUUCCUGCACAUUUUCGUGAAGACCAUCUAGAAGCCCAUGCCUGCUUAUAACUGGCGAGAUGGGAUUAUGGCUUGUCAAGCAGCAGAACACACCCAGUGUCUCCUCUCCUACAGAGCGUCUGCUGCUAUGGACAUGUGCUGCCCUGGGAAAAGUCCACUGAAGGUGGAUGAUGCAGAUGAAAAGGCUACUUCACUUUUGGAAGCUGCCUAAUUCACUUCCAGGAGCAAACUUUUUGAUCGGUAGGAUAUGACUCAGUAAUGCUGAUUGAAUUGGCUUCUCACUGUAUUUGUCAAGGCUGGAACAGACGAUGGCACUGCAGAAUCUUAUGUGCACAGAAGAAAUCUACAGACAUUCAAUGAGGGGAGGAUUUCGUUCCAUCAGAUGGGCUUCCUGACAUAAUUGCAAAGACACAUGAAGACUCAACGAUUUAUCUCCCAUCAACCUCUUCUUAGUUAAUAUCAGCCCAUGUGCUCCAAGAAAACCAGAGGAAAUAUCAAGAAAGAAGAAAACAUGAGACCCUGAAAAUAAAAACCUCAACCCAGAAGGUAUGCCAAAGAAAUCUCCAGGGCGACGGGGAGGGAGAUGCAGAUGCCAUAGCUGUGAAACUAGCUUGGAGAGCAGCAAAUCCCAGAAGUGGGGCACAGAGGCUCCAGAAAAAUGUUUCAAAGGGAAGGAUGAAGGCUUAUAGAAUACCUGAUUGCUUGAAUGCGUUGAAAAAAAUAUUUAUUCCUAGAAGUCUGGGAAUGAAUAUUCAUUAAUAUUGGAUGAAGAAAAUAGACUUUUAUUGGCCGGGUGCAGUGGUUCAUGCCUGUAAUCCCAGCACUUUUGGAGGCCGAGGCGGGCGGAUCACGAGGUCAGGAGAUCAAGACCA
rnacentral:lncRNA from 10 species